UCUUCUUCUUCUUCGAGCACCGAUAGGCCAGAACACUCUUCGAGGUCAAGAACUUAAAUCACCCAGCUGGUGAACCCUAUAUAAUUAGAAAGAUUUAAAUUGAUGACCAAGAGUAUGUGCUUUGCAAUGGGUGGUGGUGACAAUUUGUCAUCAUCGUUUUCAGUGCAACUUUCUUGUGACCAAGCUCCAUAGACAAAACAAAAGAAGAGAUUAUUAACUGGAGUGGCAACGAUCCUCUACUAAGCCAUGGUGAAGACCAAAUCACAUCAGAAACAAAAGAUGGGGAAAUUCCCGGCAAAAGAUUGAUGUUUUGGUGAUUCGGUUAAUUAGAGGUCAUGCCUUUCUUUCUGUUUCUGCUCCUUAUAAACUCCUU